rnacentral:rRNA from 1 species
GAUCAUGGCUCAGGAUUAACGCUAGCGGUAUGCAUAAUACAUGCAAGUCGAGCGGGAGCAGCAAUGCUCUAGCGGCAAACGGGUGAGUAAUACGUAUCUAAUCUACCCUUUAGAAAGGAACAACAGAUCGAAAGAUUUGCUAAUACCUUAUAGGACAUAAAUUCACAUGAAAGUAUGUUUAAAGUUCCGUUCGGAACGCUUUAGGAUGAGGGUGCGGCUUAUCAGAUAGUUGGUGAGGUAAUGGCCCACCAAGUCAAUGACGAGUAGCUAUGCUGAGAGGUAGAAUAGCCACAAGGGGACUGAGACACGGCCCCUACUCCUACGGGAGGCAGCAGUAGGGAAUUUUUCACAAUGGGCGAAAGCCUGAUGGAGCAAUACCGCGUGAAUGAUGAAGGUCUUCGGAUUGUAAAAUUCUUUUAUAAGGGACGAACGAUGUGAACAGGAAAUGGUUCGCAAGUGACUGUACCUUUUGAAUAAGUAACGGCAAACUAUGUGCCAGCCGCGGC